rnacentral:rRNA from 1 species
CCGGCGAUGUCCGAAUGGGGAAACCCAGUGCAAUUCGUUGCACUAUCGUUAACUGAAUACAUAGGUUAACGAGGCGAACCGGGGGAACUGAAACAUCUAAGUACCCCGAGGAAAAGAAAUCAACCGAGAUUCCCCCAGUAGCGGCGAGCGAACGGGGAGCAGCCCAGAGUCUGAAUCAGCUUGUGUGUUAGUGGAACGGUCUGGAAAGUCCGACGGUACAGGGUGAUAGUCCCGUACACCAAAAUGCACAGGCUGUGAACUCGAAGAGUAGGGCGGGACACGUGGUAUCCUGUCUGAAUAUGGGGGGACCAUCCUCCAAGGCUAAAUACUCCUGACUGACCGAUAGUGAACCAGUACCGUGAGGGAAAGGCGAAAAGAACCCCGGCGAGGGGAGUGAAAAAGAACCUGAAACCGUGUACGUACAAGCAGUGGGAGCACCUUCGGGUGUGACUGCGUACCUUUUGUAUAAUGGGUCAGCGACUUAUAUUCUGUAGCAAGGUUAACCGUAUAGGGGAGCCGCAGGGAAACCGAGUCUUAACUGGGCGUUAAGUUGCAGGGUAUAGACCCGAAACCCGGUGAUCUAGCCAUGGGCAGGUUGAAGGUUGGGUAACACUAACUGGAGGACCGAACCGACUAAUGUUGAAAAAUUAGCGGAUGACUUGUGGCUGGGGGUGAAAGGCCAAUCAAACCGGGAGAUAGCUGGUUCUCCCCGAAAGCUAUUUAGGUAGCGCCUCGUGAACUCAUCUUCGGGGGUAGAGCACUGUUUCGGCUAGGGGGUCAUCCCGACUUACCAACCCGAUGCAAACUACGAAUACCGAAGAAUGUUAUCACGGGAGACACACGGCGGGUGCUAACGUCCGUCGUGAAGAGGGAAACAACCCAGACCGCCAGCUAAGGUCCCAAAGUCAUGGUUAAGUGGGAAACGAUGUGGGAAGGCACAGACAGCCAGGAUGUUGGCUUAGAAGCAGCCAUCAUUUAAAGAAAGCGUAAUAGCUCACUGGUCGAGUCGGCCUGCGCGGAAGAUGUAACGGGGCUAAACCAUGCACCGAAGCUGCGGCAGCGACACUAUGUGUUGUUGGGUAGGGGAGCGUUCUGUAAGCCUGCGAAGGUGUGCUGUGAGGCAUGCUGGAGGUAUCAGAAGUGCGAAUGCUGACAUAAGUAACGAUAAAGCGGGUGAAAAGCCCGCUCGCCGGAAGACCAAGGGUUCCUGUCCAACGUUAAUCGGGGCAGGGUGAGUCGACCCCUAAGGCGAGGCCGAAAGGCGUAGUCGAUGGGAAACAGGUUAAUAUUCCUGUACUUGGUGUUACUGCGAAGGGGGGACGGAGAAGGCUAUGUUAGCCGGGCGACGGUUGUCCCGGUUUAAGCAUGUAGGCUGGUUGUCCAGGCAAAUCCGGAUAAUCAAGGCUGAGGUGUGAUGACGAGGCACUACGGUGCUGAAGUAACAAAUGCCCUGCUUCCAGGAAAAGCCUCUAAGCAUCAGGUAACAUCAAAUCGUACCCCAAACCGACACAGGUGGUCAGGUAGAGAAUACCAAGGCGCUUGAGAGAACUCGGGUGAAGGAACUAGGCAAAAUGGUGCCGUAACUUCGGGAGAAGGCACGCUGGUGUGUAGGUGAAGCCCCUGCGGGUGGAGCUGAGACCAGUCGAAGAUACCAGCUGGCUGCAACUGUUUAUUAAAAACACAGCACUGUGCAAACACGAAAGUGGACGUAUACGGUGUGACGCCUGCCCGGUGCCGGAAGGUUAAUUGAUGGGGUUAUCCGUAAGGAGAAGCUCUUGAUCGAAGCCCCGGUAAACGGCGGCCGUAACUAUAACGGUCCUAAGGUAGCGAAAUUCCUUGUCGGGUAAGUUCCGACCUGCACGAAUGGCGUAAUGAUGGCCAGGCUGUCUCCACCCGAGACUCAGUGAAAUUGAACUCGCUGUGAAGAUGCAGUGUACCCGCGGCAAGACGGAAAGACCCCGUGAACCUUUACUAUAGCUUGACACUGAACAUUGAGCCUUGAUGUGUAGGAUAGGUGGGAGGCUUUGAAGCGUGGACGCCAGUCUGCGUGGAGCCAACCUUGAAAUACCACCCUUUAAUGUUUGAUGUUCUAACGUUGGCCCCUUACCGGGGUUGCGGACAGUGUCUGGUGGGUAGUUUGACUGGGGCGGUCUCCUCCCAAAGCGUAACGGAGGAGCACGAAGGUUAGCUAAUCCUGGUCGGACAUCAGGAGGUUAGUGCAAUGGCAUAAGCUAGCUUGACUGCGAGCGUGACGGCGCGAGCAGGUGCGAAAGCAGGUCAUAGUGAUCCGGUGGUUCUGAAUGGAAGGGCCAUCGCUCAACGGAUAAAAGGUACUCCGGGGAUAACAGGCUGAUACCGCCCAAGAGUUCAUAUCGACGGCGGUGUUUGGCACCUCGAUGUCGGCUCAUCACAUCCUGGGGCUGAAGUAGGUCCCAAGGGUAUGGCUGUUCGCCAUUUAAAGUGGUACGCGAGCUGGGUUUAGAACGUCGUGAGACAGUUCGGUCCCUAUCUGCCGUGGGCGCUGGAGAAUUGAGGGGGGCUGCUCCUAGUACGAGAGGACCGGAGUGGACGCAUCACUGGUGUUCGGGUUGUCAUGCCAAUGGCACUGCCCGGUAGCUAAAUGCGGAAGAGAUAAGUGCUGAAAGCAUCUAAGCACGAAACUUGCCCCGAGAUGAGUUCUCCCUGAGACUUUAAGUCUCCUGAAGGAACGUUGAAGACGACGACGUUGAUAGGCCGGGUGUGUAAGCGCAGCGAUGCGUUGAGCUAACCGGUACUAAUGAACCGUGAGGCUUAACCUUACAACGCCGAAG